CAUGUGGUUUAAUUCGAUGAUACGCGAGGAACCUUACCUGGGUUAAAUGUAGGUUGCAUGGGGGGGAAACUUCCCUUUCCUUCGGGACUACUUACAAGGUGCUGCAUGGUUGUCGUCAGCUCGUGCCGUGAGGUGUCGGGUUAAGUCCCAUAACGAGCGCAACCCCUAUCGUUAGUUGCCAGCAAGUAAAGUUGGGGACUCUAGCGAGACUGCCGGUGUAAACCGUGAGGAAGUGGGAUGACGUCAAAUCAGCACGGCCCUUAUAUCCAGGGCUACACACGUGUUACAAUGGUCGGUACAAAGAGCAGCCACUUGGUGACAAGGCGCUAAUCUCAAAAAGCCGAUCUCAGUUCGGAUCGAAGUCUGCAACUCGACUUCGUGAAGUUGGAUUCGCUAGUAAUCGCGCAUCAGCCAUGGCCGCGGUCGAAUACGUUCCCGGGCCUU
rnacentral:rRNA from 1 species